rnacentral:lncRNA from 1 species
UGCUUAAGAGUUUUAAUCAGUCUGCCAUAGAAAGCUCCUCCCCAUUCUCCAUCUUGGGGGCUCAGAUCUUGGCUUUGGGUUGGGAUAAGGGACAGGGUAUCAGGUUGGGAGGGGAGAGUAAAUAUGAAUACGGUUGAGGGACCAGAGCUGGGAUCAGAAGAAAGCGCAGGUGAGAAGGAGCAGAAAGUGGCUGCUAACCCCAGUCCCUGAGCCAAGUCAGAAAUCCAAGUCCUUUUAUAGCAUCCAUGAGCCAAAUGUAGUGAAAUCCACACGUCAUAUCGUUCUUAUCUGCAAAGUGCUGUCAUCUGGAGCCCAAAGCACCAGGGCAAGGCUGAAUUGGGCCCAAGUACCUGAAGGGUGUCACUUUAGGUCUGGAGAGUCAGGAGGAGAUGCCACCUUGGCCUAGAGAGUUGACAGCGAGCAUCAUCUCGGCCUGGAGGGGUGUGCAGGAAAUGCCACCUUGGUCCAGAGUUGGGAGGAAGAUCCCCUGCCUUGGGUUAGGAGAGGCCAUCAUUUUGGGCCUGCCGAAGUAAGGAAACCAUGGGGAGUCCCCAGAGCCCAGGAUCAGGGAGGUGUAAGCACGAUGGAAACAGCAAAAGUUAGCAAAACCUAUCCCACCUAUCCCAUGGCACAGCUGGACUUGGGAAACAGAAAUCAGGCUGAGAGGGUGGGGCUAAGCUCAAGGAGGAGGCAGGAGGCAGGAGGCAGAAGAUUGGAGAACAAAAAGUAGAACCAACCCACGGAACCAGGGCCAAGCCUGGGCAGCAGAACAAGGACCCAGCUGGCCGGGUGCAGUGGCCCACGCCUGUAAUCCCAGCACCUUGGGAGGUGAGGCGGGUGGGUCACCUGAAGCCAGGAGUUCGAGACCAGCCUGGCCAACAUGCUGAAACCUCAUCUCUACUAAAAAUAUAAAAAUUAGCCAGGCAUGGUGGUGCAUGCCUGUAAUCCUAGCUACUCGGAAGGCUGACGCAAGAGAAUCACUUGAACUCUGGAGAUGGGGGUGGCAGUGAGCCGAGAUCACGCCAUUGCACUCCAGCCUGGGCGACAGUGAGACCCUGUCUCUAAAAACAAAACAAGCACCCAGCCCAGGGGGAGGGCAGUUCUGGAGGUGGAGCUAGGAUGGGAGGCGUAGGCAAUUGAGUGAAGGAAGACGGCAGGGAAGCUGUGCCACAUCCUGGGUUCCUGUGGGAAGAGCGGGAACAAGCCCCCCACCACAAGCAGAAACACUCAGAGAGAGCACAGCCGGGUGUGAUGGCUCACACCUGUAACCCCAGCACUUUGGGACGCCAGGGUGGGAGAAUCGCUUGAGCCCGGGAGUUUGAGACCAGCCUGGGCAACACAGUGAGACCUUCUCCCCUCUUCAAACUGUCAGAAAAAAAAUUAACCGGGCAACUGGGCAUGGUGGUGUAGGUCUGCAGUCCCCGCUACUCUGG